rnacentral:rRNA from 1 species
AUUGAAUGCUGGCGGCAUGCUUUACACAUGCAAGUCGAACGGUAACAGGGUGCUUGCACCGCUGACGAGUGGCGAACGGGUGAGUAAUGCGUCGGAACGUGCCGAGUAGUGGGGGAUAACGCAUCGAAAGGUGUGCUAAUACCGCAUACGAACUGAGGCUGAAAGUGGGGGACCUUCGGGCCUCACGCUAUUCGAGCGGCCGACGUCUGAUUAGCUAGUUGGUGAGGUAAAGGCUCACCAAGGCGACGAUCAGUAGCGGGUCUGAGAGGAUGAUCCGCCACACUGGGACUGAGACACGGCCCAGACUCCUACGGGAGGCAGCAGUGGGGAAUUUUGGACAAUGGGCGCAAGCCUGAUCCAGCCAUGCCGCGUGUCUGAAGAAGGCCUUCGGGUUGUAAAGGACUUUUGUCCGGGAGCAAAUGCUGGUGGCUAACAUCCACCGGAGCUGAGAGUACCGGAAGAAUAAGCACCGGCUAACUACGUGCCAGCAGCCGCCGUAAAAC